UCGCAUCCGCCAACCGGUCCAGCCGUGUCGCGGAAGGUUUUCCAACCAACUCAUGCUUUCCGCAGGAAAGCGCAGGUCAGCG
rnacentral:ncRNA from 1 species